CGCUACACUAAUUUUAGGGUUUUUCAGUCUCUCUUCCUUCAACCUCUUCUCAUCUGCUUCAGAAAAAAUUAUACUCAAAUAUGAGUCUCCAUCCAGAAGUCAAGUGGGCACAAAGGCCUGAUGUCGUGUAUCUCACUGUGAUGCUACCAGAUGCUAAAGAUGCAAAAGUAAACUUGGAUCCAGAAGGAGUGUUUAACUUCUCUGCUAGUGCUGGGACAGGAGACCGUCACUAUGAGUUGAAGCUUGAGCUUCUGGAUAAAGUUAAUGUUGAGGAGAGCAAAAUUAGUACUGGUGUGAGAAGUAUAUUCUGCAUUUUGCAAAAAGCAGAGCCAAAAUGGUGGACUAAAUUACUGCGUGGAGACGGCAAAGCACCACACUAUGUGAAGGUAGAUUGGGACAAGUGGGUGGAUGAAGAUGAUGAACCUGAUGCUGGUCCUGGGGAUAUGGAUAUGAAUUCAAUGGAUUUCUCAAAAUUCGGUGAUAUGGGUGGAAUGGGAGGUGAUAUGGCUUCGAUGAUGGGUGGAAUGGGC
rnacentral:misc_RNA from 1 species